rnacentral:rRNA from 1 species
UACAGAGGGUGCAAGCGUUGUUCGGAAUUACUGGGCGUAAAGCGCGUGUAGGCGGCUAAGUAAGUCGGGCGUGAAAUCCCACGGCUCAACCGUGGAAGUGCACUCGAAACUGCAUAGCUAGAGUCCUGGAGAGGAAGGUGGAAUGCUUGGUGUAGAGGUGAAAUUCGUAGAUAUCAAGCGGAACACCGGUGGCGAAGGCGGCCUCUGGACAGUGACUGACGCUGAGACGGCGAAAAGCGUGGGGAGCAAACA